rnacentral:rRNA from 1 species
UACAGAGGUCUCAAGCGUUGUUCGGAUUCAUUGGGCGUAAAGGGUGUGUAGGUGGCGCGCUAAGUCGGGUGUGAAAUUUCGGAGCUUAACUCCGAAACUGCAUUCGAUACUGGCGUGCUUGAGGACUGGAGAGGAGACUGGAAUUCAUGGUGUAGCAGUGAAAUGCGUAGAGAUCAUGAGGAAGACCAGUGGCGAAGGCGGCGAGCUGGACCCUAACUGACGCUGAGGCACGAAAGCCAGGGGAGCGAACGGG